GAUGAAGAACGUAGCGAAAUGCGAUACGUAAUGUGAAUUGCAAAUUCAGUGAAUCAUCGAGUCUUUGAACGCACAUUGCGCCCCCUGGUAUUCCGGGGGGCAUGCCUGUCCGAGCGUCAUUGCUGCCCUCAAGCACGGCUUGUGUGUUGGGCCCCGUCCUCCGAUUCCGGGGGACGGGCCCGAAAGGCAGCGGCGGCACCGCGUCCGGUCCUCGAGCGUAUGGGGCUUUGUCACCCGCUCUGUAGGCCCGGCCGGCGCUUGCCGAUCAACCCAAAUUUUUAUCCAGGUUGACCUCGGAUCAGGUAGGGAUACCGCUGAACUUAAGCAUAUCAAUAAGCGGAGGA
rnacentral:misc_RNA from 1 species